rnacentral:rRNA from 1 species
UGCCAGCCGCCGCGGUAAUACGUAGGGGGCGAGCGUUAUUCGGAAUUAUUGGGCGUAAAGGGCUCGCAGGCUGCUUGAACAGUUAGACGUGAAAUCCCCGGGCUUAACUCUGGAACUGCCAUUAAAACUUUUCAGCUAGAGUAUGAUAGAGGAAAGUAGAAUUUCUAGUGUAGAGGUGAAAUUCGUAGAUAUUAGAAAGAAUACCAAUUGCGAAGGCAGCUUUCUGGAUCAUUACUGACGCUGAGGAACGAAAGCAUGGGUAGCGAAGAGGAUUAGAUA